GACGAACGCUGGCGGCGUGCUUAACACAUGCAAGUCGAACGAAGAGCGAUGGAAGCUUGCUUCUAUCAAUCUUAGUGGCGCACGGGUGAGUAACGCGUAAUCAACCUGCCCUUCAGAGGGGGACAACAGUUGGAAACGACUGCUAAUACCGCAUACGAUCUAAUCUCGGCAUCGAGGAUAGAUGAAAGGUGGCCUCUACAUGUAAGCUCUCACUGAAGGAGGGGAUUGCGUUUGAUUAGCUAGUUGGAGGGGCAACGGCCCACCAAGGCGAUGAUCAGUAGCCGGUCUGAGAGGAUGAACGGCCACAUUGGGACUGAGACACGGCCCAGACUCCUACGGGAGGCAGCAGUGGGGAAUCUUCCGCAAUGGACGAAAGGCUGACGGAGCAACGCCGCGUGAGUGAUGACGGCCUUCGGGUUGUAAAGCUCUGUUAAUCGGGACGAAAGGACUUCUUGCGAACAGUUAGAAGGAUUGACGGUACCGGAAUAGAAAGCCACGGCUAACUACGUG
rnacentral:rRNA from 1 species